rnacentral:rRNA from 1 species
GAAAUAGUGGCGAAAGGGUGAGUAACAAGUGAGUAAUCUGCCUCUAACUCGGGGAUAGCCCAUGGAAACGUGGAUUAAUACCGGAUGUGAAUGUUUAAUCGCAUGAUUAAAUAUUUAAAAUCUUUUUGGUUAGAGAUGAGCUCGCUUCCCAUUAGCUUGUUGGUAAGGUAACGGCUUACCAAGGCUACGACGGGUAGGUGGUCUGAGAGGAUGGUCACCCACACUGGAACUGAGACACUGUCCAGACUUC